rnacentral:rRNA from 1 species
AUUGAACGCUGGCGGCAUGCCUUACACAUGCAAGUCGAACGGCAGCACGGGAGCAAUCCUGGUGGCGAGUGGCGAACGGGUGAGUAAUAUAUCGGAACGUGCCCAGUAGUGGGGGAUAGCCCGGCGAAAGCCGGAUUAAUACCGCAUGAGACCUGAGGGUGAAAGCGGGGAUCGCAAGACCUCGCGCUAUUGGAGCGGCCGAUAUCAGAUUAGCUAGUUGGUGGGGUAAAGGCCUACCAAGGCAACGAUCUGUAGUUGGUCUGAGAGGACGACCAGCCACACUGGGACUGAGACACGGUCCAGACUCCUACGGGAGGCAGCAGUGAGGAAUCUUGCGCAAUGGGCGAAAGCCUGACGCAGCGACGCCGCGUGGAGGAUGACGGUUUUCGGAUUGUAAACUCCUGUUAAGCGGGAAGAAAGCCUUGUUUCUAAUACAAGCAAGGUAUGACGGUACCGCUAGAGAAAGCACCGGCUAACUUCAUGCC